UACGAAGGGGGCUAGCGUUGUUCGGAAUCACUGGGCGUAAGGGGCGCGUAGGCGGCCUGAUAAGUCGGGGGUGAAAGCCUGUGGCUCAACCACAGAAUUGCCUUCGAUACUGUCGGGCUUGAGACCGGAAGAGGUAAGUGGAACUGCGAGUGUAGAGGUGAAAUUCGUAGAUAUUCGCAAGAACACCAGUGGCGAAGGCGGCUUACUGGUCCGGUUCUGACGCUGAGAUGCGAAAGCGUGGGGAGCGAACAGG
rnacentral:misc_RNA from 1 species